rnacentral:lncRNA from 1 species
GUUCAAUACCGAUGGGCGAUGGCUGCUCUCUCCUUUUUGUUUUGUGAAAGGACCUCAGAUUAAUUAAACGUCCAGCCAGAGAUACAAGGCACCCCACAUAGUGUGAAUGAUUUACUCAAGUUUAAGCUAUCCAAGGCGUUGGAUUUUUUCUGGACAUGGUUCAAAACAAAGAUUGUACUGACAUAUAGUAAUUACAAAGCUUACAUCACAGAAUGAUAUAAGAAAUGAUACUCAGUGUAUUGGAACACUGAUGUUGGUUUUAGAUAUGCAGUAAGAAGUUUCCCAGGAAGAAUCACUUUUCUAAACCAUGCACAUUUUCUCACAUUAUGCCAGUUAAAAGGAAGAGAAUUAAGAACAUUAACACAUAUCUUUGAUGAAUAUCAUUAUACUAUGUCCAAUGAUAUACCAUGUAUACAUAUGUAAAAGGUUAAAAGUGACAAAUAUUUAUCAAAAGAAACCAUGCCUAGGAGCUAGAUAGAUUCUGGCCAAAUAGAUUUUGAAUAAGGGAGUUGGAACUUUGCAGUUGAUUUUCUACAUCAAAUUUGGUAGCCUGGAGAUGCAGAAGAAGUAGGCACAAGGAGGCGAACAGGCGUAGUAAAUUUACUAUGUGUUAGUUGUUAAAUAUAAGCUACAGGUCCAAAUGUUGAUGCUCCUGUUUACAAGUCGUAUGAAAUGUUUUUUCAAAUGCUUUAUGAUGUUUUUGCUUAGUUGCCUCUGAAGCACAUAAUUUUAUUUUCUCAUUUUUCUCAUAGUGCCUAGCGUUCUGAUGGGAUAUGGGAAGAGAUGGGUGAAUGACCUAUAGGAUUUAAUAGCCCGUGCUCCCUUGCUAUCUGCCUGCAACACAAGCUCAUACUCUACUACAGGGAGGCUGCGGUCAUACGAGGACAUCAUCAAGAUCUUCGAUCGGUGCAACCAACUGAUUGAUGUUGCUGUUUGGAUGGCCUGUAGUUCGAGUCAUUCUGGGUUUUCUACUGUUAUACCUCGCAUCUAGAAGAUCUUUGGUGGGUUUCAUAAUCGUAAGGUCAAAUGGCAUUAUACAAAUUGAGUGCUAUUACCAUGCAUGUGACUGUUCUGUUUGAAGUAAGUCAAACUCUAUUAGGUACUCCCUCCAUUCCACAAUGUAGUGCUUCCUCUAUCCUCGUGCUUCAAGUUUGACCGUAAAUUUAACUAUCAAGACUAAUUGCGGCGGGAGCAAAAAUUAUAUCAGUGAAUUCGUAUUCGAAAGAAGUUUUCAAUUAUACAAUUUUUUCUCCUGCCGCAGUUGGUCUCAUUGGUUAAAUUUAUAGUCAAAGUUGGACCUCGGGAAGCGUAGGCGCACUAUAUUUUGGAAUGAAGGGAAUAUGUGAUGUUUCCAAAUUGAAUAAGUAGAAGUGCACAUCUGACAUAUAUCUCGAAUUAAUGUUUCUAGAAAUAAUGAGUUAAUUUUAUGAACACCGAUGGGCAAACGUUUUAUCUUUAUUUGAUGAUCCAGAGAGAGGUCAACUUCCAUUUUUACUGUCAUUAACCUUUUAUUGCCAUCUUGAUAAGCACAUGGUGAAUUAUGUACUAAGUGUAUAUUUCAUGCUUGUUAUAAGGUCUCAGAUCAAUGUUGAUGCUCUUGCUUCUCCUUGUAUUUCUCAUAUAUUAGAAGCUGCUGGAAACAUUUAUAGUUUCCCUGGCAUGUUUAGCAUGUAGUUAUUUCCCUUAUUUAAAUGCAGAUGAAAAAUAAUAAUCUAGAUGCAUCUAUUUCUCUUUUUGGACCAGGGGAGUGUUCCCCGUUUGAAUAAUAAACACCUAGAGUGGCAGUAUUGCUAACGGUGAAAUGCAUUUAAAAUAUCUGUAGGUUGUACCAGCUUGAAGAAAUAUUCUAACUGAAAAUAUCUGCAUAGGUUAUACGGGCCAGAGUAUCCAUUGUCGACGCCAUCUUCGCUGUUGUACCCAUAUUUGGGGCCAACCAAACUGUGUAGCCGUCUGUCAUCUUGGAAGUCUCCAGACGAGCUCGUGCCCAAGAAGCUCCGGUGUCAGGAUAGAACGGUAAUACAUGCUUGUGCUUUAAAUAUAUGUUUAAACCAUAAAAUUGAUUUGUUCCUUUCAAUGAUAUGUCAACAUGCAUUUCCAAGUAUAUGCACUACAUGUUGCUAUCAAAUGACUCACUUCUAAUGCAUUGCUUCUUAGCUGAAUAUAUGUUUGUUUGUUAUACUUUUUUCCUUAGAAACUAUUGUUCUCAAGUGGAGAGUGGAGACACAAUUGUAAAGGUCAUCCCUUGUAAUCUCAACUGAAAUAAGCGGAUGUCUAGCUGAUGUUGGCAUACAUGGAAAUUCGUCUUGUCUUUUAUUGGUUAACACCCAAUAGGCUUCACCAAAUUGUUUUGAAUUUUGCUUUUAUACAUCAACUAGAUGCUUGUCAUUAUAUUUAAUUGGCAACAUCAUGUAAACCUGUGUACAAAAAAAAUCUUGGAAAACUCAGGUGGCAGUUAGCUAUGAAGUAUAUCCAUUUUAUUACAACUUGCUUAUGAUGUACUAUACUUGUCCAACACAAAACUCAAACUCACAACACAGGUACCUAAAUCAUAUUUGUAAAUCAACAUCAGAAAAGAAAAGGAAAAAACAGUUGGUUCCAACGAACAGGUCGAGCAGCUCACGCCGCUUGCAACUAUUUCUUUGGGUACAUUUUCAUGCUUCAUCAGGAUAGAGGGAGGCAUCACCAUUCACCAAGUCUAUGUAUCUUUCCCAAGCCAGGCACAGAUGAAGUCUCGUCUUUUUUUUUAGAAACGAUGUCUCAUCUUGUUGAUGCACGUGAAUUUCAUGUCCAUGCUUACUAGUAAAUAUAAGAGCGUUUAGAUAACUACUUUAGUGAUCUAAAUGCUCUUAUAUUUGUUUACGGAGGGAGUACAUAUGAAUGAUAUUGAUAGAUGCUUGCUUGAUUGGGAUGUGCACAACAACGUUCCAUGUUGAUUUGUCAGCAUUCUUAUCAAUUAGGAAAUCUCCAUAACCCAAAAAAACAGAGUUAGAACAACUUUGAGCAACCUGCCGUUUAGUUAUCACAGUUGCAACUUGCAUGAAACCAUAUGCUCAACAGAACCAGAUUAUCCUACAACUAAAACUCCAACAUCAUAGUAAUUCUCUGGGUAAAUUUUGAUCAAACAUUUCACAAUACUAUGAGUAGUUGCCACAGUUCAGGAUAGUGUGACACUUACCUGUCAAUAGAAUAACACCAAAAGUAUAGUCCGAUAAUUAAGAUUCAGGUUAUUCCAAGAAUAGCACAUGAACUAGAAGUCUAACAUCAUGCACAUUGGUCAACUAAUAAAACAUAUAUAUGGCUAUAAGCCUAUUGCCACCAAUGCUUCAUUGAGUUUCAUCCUUGUUAUGGCCACAUUGGUUUGCCCCAUACAUAAAAACUUGCAUACUCUGAAACACUAAGAAUAUAAAACAGCCAACACACACCAAGCAAGGUUACACAGAAUUAGAAAAUAGCAGUCGUGCGGAGACGAACAAUUUCUUUCGGAAUAGAACUCUAAUACCCUAUCUUCAAUCUUCAAAACCACUAUAUUCUCCAGAAAGAGUAUAAAUAUCCAUAUUUAGAAGUAGAACAAUCAUCAGCUUAAUAGUGGACUAUAAUGUCAUAUUUUUCAGUUCGCAAAAGUUGCACAUCUAAUCUACUAUGCAUACUCACAUAGAACAAUAAAUGCACUAUAUAUAUAUCCAAAUAACAACAAAUAAAUAUGCCUUUUCUUCACAGGUUGCAUGGCAAGAAUAUAAUUGUUGUGAUUUCAUUUAUUUUCUAAUAUGUUUGCUCACGCAGCAAAUACAUAGCCAAGCAUGCAUACAUUUUUGUUAAAUCAAAGGACUAAUGGUCACUUUUGCAUUUCUGUUUCUUUGUUGAUGCACUUUUUGCAUGAUUGACAAACAACCACUCAUCAAAAGAUCAUGAAAAGAAGUAUGUACACUCACCUUGCAAUCAGCCAACCUAAUAUGAUGCUUUCAUCAGUGGACAGAACCAACAGCAUUGACCAUAUCUAAGGCGACCACACUUUGGCAUGAAUCAAAUUCACAUCCGCCAAUUUUGACGGAGGGAAUUUGAGCAGCUGGAGGUGCCAUAGAUGGGAGGAGAAACUGGCUGUUGGGAUGCACCCGUCUGCAAGACGCGGCGGCGAUACAGACGACAUGGAUGGCAAGCGGAGAUUAAGGCCUCGUUUGGCACAAGAGGUUUUGAGGGUAUUUUCCUCGCGUGGCCCAGAAAACCUGCAAAACCUCGAGGCCCCAUUUGGUACACGAGGUUUCCUCGGCCCAUCCGCUCCGAUCCCCUCGUUUCCACGCGAUUCAGAAGCCUCGCCUCCUACCUCGCGGAAGCACAGGCACACGCACAAAGCGAGACCGCACCGCACAGGAAGGGAGACGGCGCCCCUCUUGCCGUCCCUCCUCCACGCCAGCCGGAAACUUCGCCCUCCCCUACCGUGCCGCCCCCUACCGUCCCCUUUUCCCCGCUACAACCAUCUGCGCCGCCCCCUACCACCCCUUUCUGCCCGGUUUGUUCACAUCUGGUUCCUCAAGACGGUGGCCGGAGGCGACAUGCCCGGUCCGGAGAAGCUAGAUGCCGCCGGAGAACCCUUGCCUUCCUACUGUCUAGAUGACCCCAAAGCUAGACCUAGCUUGUUCCAUCUUCUAUCUUCGUUUUGAUUCGAUCCUGGCGAGCCCUAGACUGGAUCGAUCCAUCUCCUUUUAGUUCCUAGUGUUUUUGCUUUUUAUUGAAUCCUGGUGGUUGAGUUCUUGAUCCAUGGAUGGUCUUGAUCUGUGCGUGGUUGAGUUCUUGAUCCAUGGGUAGUUGAGUUGUAUUUAUCUGUCUGACGCGUGUGCAUGUUUUGAUUGAACAGAAUGUAGUCUGGGUGUUUUGAUUGAACAUACUGUCCAAGAUUACUGUACAAUUUACAAAUAAUACUCAUAAAAAAAGUUUGGACAAAUAUGCUAGAACCAGAUUGAUCUCUUGUUAGUACUAAAUAUGCUUGAACCAAAUUGCUUGAGAUUGUUUUUACUAAAUAUGCUUGAACAAGAUUCGUCUCUUGUUAAUAUGCUUGAACCAGGUUUUGCGCCAUUCAUUCUGGAAAUUAUUUUUACUGAAUAUAUGCUUGAACCAGAUUGCGCGGUUAUGGCGGUUUAGAGGACAUUUUAUUUUUGUCAUGAAAUGUGUUAUCAUAUCGUUACCCUACGUUUGAUUCAUGCUAAUUAUGUAAUACAGACACUCUGUUCUAAUUUCAAUUUGAUAGGAAGAUGCCCUACAAACAAAAUGUUCAACUUGGUUGUAACUCGUGUUCUGUAGCAAGUGAAAGAUUGGAUUUUUAACUGUUUUGCACCAUGUCAUCUCUAUAUGGCAAACCCUGUCAACCAAAUGCAUUUUUAUACAAAGGGGAUUUUGGCUGGUGGGGGAUUGGGGAAUCAAGGGGAUUGGGUGGAAGGGAGGGAUUCACCAAAUCCUCUCCUCCAGAAACCUCUCAAAUACUCCUCUACCAAACAUAGCCUAAUGGUGGAGACUGCCGGGAGGACGCAACGUCCGUGAUUUGGGGAGACAAAAGAGAGACCAAGGGGACUGGAACCUCGUUCAGAAAAGGGGGAUUGGAACCUCGUAAAAGAAAAAAGGAAUUGGAACCUGCAGCCCGCCUCCACGGACGAAGAUGAAGGGCCUGUUUGGUUGGAGAUUUGGCCUGUUUGGUUGGAGAUUUAAUUUGCCAUGCCUAAGGUGAGGUAUCAGCCACACCUGUGGCGCGCCGCAGAAGUGUGGCGAGCAAAACAAACGCCAGACCUUUUGACGAAAAUCCUACUGGAGAAAUCACUAUGCACUGUGGCAAGCCAAACAUUAGUAUAGAACCAAACGCAUGCCUGAAAAGUUGUGGCACGCCACACCUUUGGCUUGGCAAGCUAAGGCUGGAACAGCCCCGAAAAGAUAUCCAACUACAACCAAGACAAAGAGAAGAGAAAAUAGAACCUGCUGUGGAGCAGAAGAAGCCGAUACGGCCGGCGUGGAUCCGGCAUGCGGCCAUCCAGAGGCAUGGCAACACGCUCUUAUCAGCUGACGAAACGACAGGGCAACCCUCCCCCGCGGCCACACCGACAACGAAACACGGCAGGAAUGUCUGCUGCCCCUCUCCUUCUCUCCCACAAGCGCCGCCAAAGAAAGAAGAUCUGAUGUAGAGGAAGAAGAAAAUGCCAACAACAGAUCCGGACCCGACUCCGACGAAGAAGCAAGCACCAAAGACCCCGACAAAG